rnacentral:rRNA from 1 species
UACAGAGGUCCCAAGCGUUGUUCGGAUUCACUGGGCGUAAAGGGUGCGUAGGCGGUCGGGUAAGUCUGAUGUGAAAUCUCACAGCUUAACUGUGAAACUGCAUUGGAUACUAUUCGGCUUGAGAGUUGGAGGGGGGACUGGAAUUCUUGGUGUAGCAGUGAAAUGCGUAGAUAUCAAGAGGAACACCAGUGGCGAAGGCGAGUCCCUGGACAACUUCUGACGCUGAGUGAGCGAAAGCUAGGGGAGCAAACGGG